UUAAAUUGAAGAGUUUGAUCAUGGCUCAGAUUGAACGCUGGCGGCAGGCCUAACACAUGCAAGUCGAACGGUAACAGGAAACAGCUUGCUGUUUCGCUGACGAGUGG
rnacentral:rRNA from 1 species